UACGGGGGGGGCUAGCGUUGUUCGGAAUCACUGGGCGUAAAGCGCACGUAGGCGGAUCUUUAAGUCAGGGGUGAAAUCCCGAGGCUCAACCUCGGAACUGCCUUUGAUACUGGGGAUCUCGAGUCCGGGAGAGGUGAGUGGAACUGCGAGUGUAGGGGUGAAAUUCGUAGAUAUUCGCAAGAACACCAGUGGCGAAGGCGGCUCACUGGCCCGGUACUGACGCUGAGGUGCGAAAGCGUGGGGAGCAAACAGG
rnacentral:rRNA from 1 species